GUGAGGAAUAUUGGUCAAUGGGCGCAAGCCUGAACCAGCCAUGCCGCGUGCAGGAAGACGGUCCUAUGGAUUGUAAACUGCUUUUAUUUGGGAAUAAACCUCCUUACGUGUAGGGAGCUGAAGGUACCAAAUGAAUGAGCACCGGCUAACUCCGUGCCAGCAGCCGCGGUAAUACGGAGGGUGCAAGCGUUAUCCGGAAUCAUUGGGUUUAAAGGGUCCGCAGGCGGUCAUAUAAGUCAGUGGUGAAAGCCUACAGCUCAACUGUAGAACUGCCAUUGAUACUGUAUGACUUGAAUUCGAUCGAAGUGGGCGGAAUGUGACAUGUAGCGGUGAAAUGCUUAGAUAUGUCACAGAACACCGAUAGCGAAGGCAGCUCACUAGGUCUGGAUUGACGCUCAGGGACGAAAGCGUGGGGAGCAAACAGGAUUAGAAACCCCGGUAGUCC
rnacentral:rRNA from 1 species